UACGUAGGGUGCAAGCGUUAAUCGGAAUUACUGGGCGUAAAGCGUGCGCAGGUGGUUUUGUAAGACCGACGUGAAAGCCCCGAGCUCAACCUGGGAACUGCGUUGGUGACUGCAAGACUAGAGUGUGGCAGAGGGGGGUGGAAUUCCGCGUGUAGCAGUGAAAUGCGUAGAGAUGCGGAGGAACACCGAUGGCGAAGGCAGCCCCCUGGGCUAACACUGACACUCAUGCACGAAAGCGUGGGGAGCAAACAGG
rnacentral:rRNA from 1 species